GCUUUGGUAUGACUUUGGAUGGACUGACAGGUUAGUGCGUACUUUGAAGUUAACUUUUAGUUAGACUGUUGUAAAUAAUACUUUAUAUAAUAAUAUAUAAUAUAUUGUGAAAUCAAUUUUCCCAUCAAUCCAGAUAAUGUGCUGAGUUGUGCUAAGAAUGAUCCCAUAACUGGAAGCAGCUGUAACACAAAAGCAAGAGCCAAUGUGGAGCAGAGGGGGGAUUCAGCCAAGCUGUGUGCACUUGCUCAGCAAGUUUGGUUUGUUCUGACAAGUGAAAUUCGUGGGAAUGUGAUUGAAUGGCAACAGAAAUUUGCCCAAAAUUCAGUUUGCGUUGUGUUUGAACACAUCUUCACUAAGUGUCUGUGUUAUGUCCGUUCUUAAAACUGAUCAUCUGUCGAGUGACAAAGAAUUGAAUAAAGUUUGUCCUGAAGCUGGAAGAUGAGUUGCAUGCAGCCAGCCUCGCAAAGAGGUACUGAGUGAUAAUCGCAGCCUCGGGUCACAGAAACACACACUUGCAUUUUCUUAUGGCAGCAAUCUGAUGCCUGAAGCUAUCCUCCCUCACAGGGGUCUUUCUCGGGGCCACUAUCCAGCUCUGGGCUCUCUGCUGGGCUGGGUUAAGAUGUUAUGGCUCCUAUCUGGUACUGAGGCAGUGAUGGUAGCGGUGGUGGCAAUCAUGGGGGCUGCAACAAACCAGGCUGAAUACACACCUUGCAUUUCACACACGCACUAACACAUCAGGGUGUCUGGUCAUGCAGAGCUAAUGCGGUCCUGCAGGACGCUGUAAUCAGUGUUAGGGCUACAGAGCAUGUCAAAACAUGCAGGAGUGAAAUCUCAAUCACGGGAUGGGACCUGACGGAGCAGAGACGAGGAGAGAAUGGGAGGGAGGUGGCGCCAUGAAAGCUAAAAGAAAAAAAGGCAGCGGUGGAAGCAGAGCGUGAGAUUCAAAUGUUACAGAUGGGUGAGGGGUCAGCCAUGACUGAACAGAAGCAAACCUUCCUCGCUGCACUCCUGGGAUGUUGCGGCAGCAGGAAAAUCAAACAGGAAAGUCUUCUCUUUCCUGCAGGUAGAAAACAAUAGUGGUAUGGGAUAACAAUAAAUAUCUUUUCUUUACUGUCCCUGCCUGUCCCCUCUGGAUCGGGUCAAUAACAGCGUUUAGUAUCAGUAACCCGGGUCCAUUAUCCUGUGUGAAGCCCUGAGAUGUAAAGCAUUACUGCCUCCUCCUGUUUCACUCCAGGGGGAAGGUGGGCAGUGGCUGAGACCUUCCUGUGGUCACAGUGGUGGAUGCAGGGUUAAACUGAUAUGUCACUUAGCUGAUACUGAUCUUUGAUUGUGGAUUUUAAGGUUGAUAUCGGCCACUCUCUGUUGUCUGACUUUAUUAUGGGACGCUUUCAUAGUUUCUCAAUGAUAUCAUUGUUGAGUAUUAGAUCUUUUCCUUUGAAAUACAUAUAUAAAAAGUGAGUUCAUCUUAUGCUUGUGGUCGAGACUUUUAAUGGUAAUGUUUGAUCACAACCACAGCUCCAGGAGGAUGACAUAUAGAGUGACACAGCGAUGGUCCUGAGUAAAGUGGACUGAGUUGUUCUAACCACAGAGGCAGAGUUAUAGUGCUUAGUCAACAGAUAAAAGUUACUGCUAACAUUCACUAAAAAUCUUGCUGUUACUGGAAACUGAUUAGAGGUAUGCUAGUUACUAAAGCCAUGAUCCAGAGAUGCCACAGAUAUACUUUUAACUAAAAUUGAUGCACUUUUGAUUAAUUAACUACAGGUUACUGUCAAUAAUGAGAACUCUAAUAUAUUGGAUUUUUCCACUGCAAUAUUUCUAGCAUUUGGGAUAUAUACAUAUUUUUUUCCCCAAAUGUUUUGGAAAAUGGCAAAGAUUUCUCAUUCUCUGUUGUUUGAUUACCAUAGUAACCAAACACAAGUAUAAAGGCCUCUAUGGACCUAUGCGGUCUUGAUUUGUCUUUACUGUACACACUUGUUUUUUUAUUAUCUAAGUGCAAAUUUUCAGCCAUCCCACCUUCAGCUGUCCUGUCGAGUCAUCUAUUCACAAAGACAGAGUACUAUUUGGCCAGUAUGCUCCUGUUUGUGCAUCAUGUGUCACAUUCAUCCAUUCCCACUAUCACACAUUGAUGGCUGAUGCUGCUAUGUCAAGCACCCAUCAGUUGGCCAAUCCCAUUCACACACCGCUGGGCAGUGGGCACAGCCAGCACGGGCAGUUUGGGGUCAAGUUCCUCUCCCAGGAACAACACGGCAUGUGGACAGCAGGACCUGGGAUCCAUCCCCUGACCUUUUGAUUGAAAGAUGAGCGACUCUAUCACUGAGCCACAGCUGCCCCAACUGACCCUGCCCACCAAGAAAUAUCACAUUAGUAACAGAGCUAUCACUAGUGCUGCUCAGUUAUGAAAUUAAUUUAGGGUCAAACACACCAUAACCCGAGUUAGACACCUCCUUGAGAGAUAAAUGUUGCAGACCGCUUGCUUCUCUAGUUUUACCAACUUUAGUAAUGACCGCACGGUAGCAAUACACAGCGGUCUGAGGAGCCAUAAACAAACCUUAACCAUAACGCCACUCUAUAGCCACAAAUAAUGCUCAGAACAGCACCUAACUUCAUCAACAGUACAUAUAGGGUCCUAGCCACAGCACUAGCCACCAAACAACUUUCUAACUUUACCUAAUUUAUUUUGCAAAGAGACUAAACACAACUUACCCACUCUCUCUCAGCAGCUGCUUGUUUGUAGCAAGAAAGCCCAAAGAAGAACAUUUAUGAUCAUUUCUUUAUCAUUUCCUUGAAGUAAUAAUCAUCAUAAUAAUCAUUUUGCACUGCAGACGUGGUAGUUCUUCUGCCUUAGCGUCUCAGUCUGAUUGCAUUUCCAUGAAGAAAUGUCUAGCAACAGGAAUGACAAGUAAAACUCCUUUGAAUCCUUUGCCAAUACACCCCCCCC
rnacentral:lncRNA from 1 species